AUUUUACCUCCAGGCUGGUAACAGUAUCAUCUUCCUGAAUGACACCUUCACCACAUCCACUCUUGUCAGGAAGGAAGCCUUUUUAAUUCUCCAAAGCUCAAAGCCCACAAUGUUCUACACAGUGACCUUGAGGGACUGAUCACCCCUUGGUACUUGCCAACUACAGAUUAAUUUCUAUUGUUUAGUCCAGAGAAAACUGUCAAGGAACUAUGGAUUCAUGAGUGGAAGUACUGGGUCAUCUGAUAAUCCUGUGUUUAACUUUUUGAGGAACCGCCAUACCGUUUUCCACAGCAUGUGCUCCUUUACUUGUAUGCGUGUAUUCCAUCUCUUCUAACAACACUCCAGCAAAAUAG
rnacentral:lncRNA from 1 species